rnacentral:rRNA from 1 species
UGGGUGAUAGCGUGCCUUUUGUAGAAUGAACCGGCGAGUUACGAUUACGUGCGAGGUUAAGUUGAGAAGACGGAGCCGCAGCGAAAGCGAGUCUGAAUAGGGCGAAUUAGUACGUGGUCGUAGACCCGAAACCAGGUGAUCUACCCAUGUCCAGGAGGAAGGUGAGGUAACACUUACUGGAGGCCCGAACCCACGCACGUUGAAAAGUGCGGGGAUGAGGUGUGGGUAGCGGAGAAAUUCCAAUCGAACUUGGAGAUAGCUGGUUCUCUCCGAAAUAGCUUUAGGGCUAGCCUCGUGAUUAAGAAUACUGGAGGUAGAGCACUGUUUGGACUAGGGGGGCAUCUCGCUUUACCGAAUUCAGACAAACUCCGAA